GUUACUAAGCUCUUUAAUGCAUUUAUAAAUAUUGUCUCUCAAGCUAGCUGUUGUGGCUUUAAUUACAGCAAAGCUUCAGGUCCCAGAUUCUAUGCAAGUCCGCAAGUCAGUUCAGUAGGGCCAAGAACAAGAAACCCAAGACCUCUUUUCCCUUUUUUGGUCCUUUUAAGGGCCCCGCCCAAGGCAUAUGGAAGUUCUCAGGCUAGGGGUUGAAUCGGAGCUGCAGCUGCUGGCCACAGCCACAGUCAUGCUGGGUCCGGGCCCCAUCUGUGACCUACACUGAAGCUUGCAGCAACACUGGAUCUUUUAACCCACUGAGCGAGGCCAGAGAUCGAACCCACAACCUCAUGGAUACUAGCUGGGUUCUUAUCCCUCUGAACCAUACCAGGAACUCUAACCCAAGACCUCUUAAAACUUACCUUCUGUUCUAGAAUAUCUCCAAACCUCAUAGCUUAAAUGAAGUUGGAUGACAUUUAUGUAACUACCAGCUUUUGAGACGAAGACUACCUCAAUUCAUACAAAUGUUUCAUUUUCUAAAACAGCUUCAUCCGUUUUGAAAGGGUCUAUUUAAUAACAGUGACUCUGAAGUUGUGACAAAACUCUAAUAAAUCAAAUCAAGUCCAUGUCCCGCAGUGGACAGCUGUGAAGCAGACCUUGCAUUUUUAAAUAGAUGAGGUGUGACAUGGCUGUUUGCACAAGGAAAGAUGGUGUCACUGUUCUAAUUAUCACAUCGAAUUCUAAUUAUACAGAUCAUUAAAAUCAUUCAGACCGGCAUCAGAGAGCAUCUCCAAUGUCCCACUUGGCAGAGACUUGCCAAGCAUAGAGGGGAAAAAAAAAAAAGGUAUCAAUUAACUUCUGGAAAGAACAUCCCCGUUUACGUAGAGCUCAGGGACGCCUUAAACUUUUAAGCUCUCUGGUGACUGAUACACGCUCUCACUCUGCUUCAUAGGCGUGAGUUGAAUAAUUCACUUGGCAGCUCUGCCCGAAUGCUAAUAUUCCAGGGAGGCUUCCUUCACUGAUGCUACCCUGCAAAUAAAUCUCUCACUGUUUCAUUUUUUAGAUGAACCCUAAGGGCAGAUUUCAGGAAGAACCAAAAGGAGCAGAAUUAGGGACAAGGACCCUAUUACCCACCAGACGUGAGGCCAAUUCUGCGGGCUCCCGUGUGUGCCCCUGGUCCUCGUCCAGGGACAGUAAAAAGCCAUUUGUUGAUGGCAUUCUUUCCGAGGGGCAAGGUCACCACCUUGGCCUGGCCACCACGUGGCGGCAGAGACAGCUCAGAGAACAGGGCUUCCUUCCAGGGCCCUCGCUUUAUCCGUAAAGCAAACUGCUUCCAGCAAAUGAGCCCCACUCUGCUCCAAGGCUGGACACAGAAGGUACUGAUGGGGGGGGGGGGUGUUGCAAUGCAUGUAACACAAAACCUUUUUUCUGACAAUAACCUGCUUCGCCUUUCCCUCAGCUCUGUGGCAGUCCCCUUCCCCCCUUCCCCGACAGGACAGUCCCCAGGGAAGAGCGGUGGGGCUUCGAUGGGCCCUUCCUUCCCCCUGGGGACCCACAACACCGAAGGCAGGGCGGCAUCAGGAGCUGCGAGCUUCAAAACUCCAGGCCAGGCAAUCCUUACCUCACUAAGCUUCACCCAAACACACCUGUUUUCAGAGCUUUUCGAAGAGUCAUACAGACUCGAUACGCAACACAGGGAGUUCCCGUCAUGGCGCAGCAGAAACGAAUCUCACUAGCAUCCAUGAGGUCGCAGGUUCAAUCCUUGGCCUCGCUCAGUGGGUUAAGGAUCCGGCAUUGCCAUGAGUGGUGGUGUAGGUCACAGACCUGGCUUGGAUCCAGCAUUGCUGUGGCUGUGGUGUAGGCCAGCGGAUACAGCUCCGAUUCGACCCCUAGCCUGGGAACCCCCAUAUGCCAUGGGUACAGCCCUAAAAAGACAAAAAAUAAAAUAAAAUAAAGAAGAAUUGACACAGAACAAGCUUCCAAAAAUGGCUCUGGAAAAAUAAGCCAUCCUUCUCUCCUUGUCAUUUUUGCUCUUUUCAUUAAAAAAUAUGCAGCUUCCUCCCACGCUGCCACUGUUAAGGUGUGCUUCUAAACAGAUGCCCUGUUUAAGGCCCUGGAGACGAGGGGAGGCUUCUGGGGACCCAAAGGCCCCUGGUGACAGGAUGGGCUUUCUUCCCCCGCGCUGCCCUAAAGCUUCCCUCCAGCCCAGGUGGAGAAGGGUUUGUUGGCAGACACCGUACACGCAACGUCUCGGCUAGGACCCCCCCAGUCUGUUUUUAUAAAGGCCCCAUUUCUAAGGAAUAAAAUACUCCUGCGAGCCGUUCUCUGCAGGGCAAGCAGUGGCUGCUCGCUCUCCGACCGCAGCGCCGCUGACAAGCACAGGGCUUCACCUCCAGCCCCCGACCCGACCCGACGGCCCACCCCACUCGGCCUUCACGACACUCACCUCCCCUGGAGCAGUGAGGGCACGGCUUGAAGGCAAUUUUUGUGGCAAAUUUAACAGAAGAGUAUAAAAAAAUCACUUUACAGGCUGCUGAGACUGAGUAUCU
ensembl:lncRNA